rnacentral:rRNA from 1 species
AUCCUGGCUCAGAGCGAACGUUAGCGGCGGGCCUAACACAUGCAAGUCGAACGCGAAAGGUCUUCGGACUGAGUAGAGUGGCGCACGGGUGAGUAACACGUAGGUAAUCUACCCUUUGGCGGGGGAUAACGUUCCGAAAGGAGCGCUAAUACCGCAUAAGACCACGGAGUCUCCGGACGCUGUGGGAAAAGGUGGCCUCUUCUUGAAAGCUACCACCGAAGGAUGAGCCUGCGUCCCAUCAGCUAGUUGGUAAGGUAAUGGCUUACCAAGGCGAAGACGGGUAGCUGGUUUGAGAGAAUGAUCAGCCACACUGGCACUGGAACACGGGCCAGACUCCUACGGGAGGCAGCAGUGAGGAAUAUUGGGCAAUGGGCGAAAGCCUGACCCAGCCACGCCGCGUGAGUGAUGAAGGCCCUCGGGUCGUAAAGCUCUGUGGAGAGGGACGAAAACCCUGGUUCAAUAGGCUCCAGGCUUGACGGUACCUCUUUAGCAAGCACCGGCUAACUCUGUG